ACGGGGCGCAGCAGGCGCGAAAACUUUACAAUGCGGGAAACCGUGAUAAGGGGACACCGAGUGCCAGCAUCAUAUGCUGGCUGUCCAGAUGUGUAAAAUACAUCUGUUAGCAAGGGCCGGGCAAGACCGGUGCCAGCCGCCGCGGUGACACCGGCGGCCCGAGUGGUGAUCGUGAUUAUUGGGUCUAAAGGGUCCGUAGCCGGUUUGGUCAGUCCUCCGGGAAAUCUGAUGGCUCAACCAUUAGGCUUUCGGGGGAUACUGCCAGGCUUGGAACCGGGAGAGGUAAGAGGUACUACAGGGGUAGGAGUGAAAUCUUGUAAUCCCUGUGAGACCACCUGUGGCGAAGGCGUCUUACCAGAACGGGUUCGACGGUGAGGGACGAAAGCUGGGGGCACGAACCGGAUUAGAUACCCGGGUAGUCCCAGCCGUAAACGAUGCUCGCUAGGUGUCAGGCAUGGCGCGACCGUGUCUGGUGCCGCAGGGAAGCCGUGAAGCGAGCCACCUGGGAAGUACGGCCGCAAGGCUGAAACUUAAAGGAAUUGGCGGGGGAGCACAACAACGGGUGGAGCCUGCGGUUUAAUUGGACUCAACGCCGGACAACUCACCGGGGACGACAGCAAUAUGUAGGCCAG
rnacentral:rRNA from 1 species